AAUGAACGCUGGCGGCGCGCCUAAUACAUGCAAGUCGAGCGAGAAGACGUAGCAAUACGUUUGUAAAGCGGCGAACGGGUGAGGAAUACAUGGGUAACCUACCCUCGAGUGGGGAAUAACUAGCCGAAAGGUUAGCUAAUACCGCGUACGCUUCUUGGACUUCGGUUCAGGGAGGAAAGCGAUGCCGAGGGUAUCGCGCUCUUGGAUGGGCUCAUGUCCUAUCAGCCUGUUGGNGAGGUACGCUCACCAAGCUUCGACGAGUAGCUGGUCUGAGAGGACGAUCA
rnacentral:rRNA from 1 species